rnacentral:rRNA from 1 species
UACGUAGGGUGCAAGCGUUGUCCGGAAUUAUUGGGCGUAAAGAGCUCGUAGGCGGUCUGUCGCGUCGGAUGUGAAAAUCCAGGGCUUAACCCUGGGCCUGCAUUCGAUACGGGCAGACUAGAGUUCGGUAGGGGAGACUGGAAUUCCUGGUGUAGCGGUGAAAUGCGCAGAUAUCAGGAGGAACACCGGUGGCGAAGGCGGGUCUCUAGGCCGACACUGACGCUGAGGAGCGAAAGCGUGGGGAGCGAACAGG